rnacentral:rRNA from 1 species
UACAGAGGGUGCAAGCGUUGUUCGGAAUUAUUGGGCGUAAAGGGCGCGUAGGCGGUGCCACAAGUCACCUGUGAAAUCUCCGGGCUUAACUCGGAGCCUGCAGGCGAAACUGUGGUGCUGGAGUGUGGGAGAGGUGCGUGGAAUUCCUGGUGUAGCGGUGAAAUGCGCAGAUAUCAGGAAGAACACCCGUGGCUAAGGCGGCUCUCUAGUACGGUACUGACGCUGAGACGCGAAAGCGUGGGGAGCGAACAGG